GCAAAAGUAGUUCAGCGGUAGAAUACAACCUUGCCAAGGUUGGGGUCGCGGGUUCGAAUCCCGUCUUCUGCUCCA
rnacentral:tRNA from 1 species